AGAGUUUGAUCCUGGCUCAGGACGAACGCUGGCGGCGUGCCUAACACAUGCAAGUCGAGCGGAGAUGUACUGAAGAUUUAUCGGAUGUACAUCUUAGCGGCGGACGGGUGAGUAACGCGUGGGCAACCUGCCUUCCACUGGGGGAUAACACAGGGAAACCUGUGCUAAUACCGCAUGACAUCACAUAGGGCAUCCUGUGUGAUCAAAGGAGUGAUCCGGUGGAAGAUGGGCCCGCGUCCGAUUAGCUAGUUGGUGAGGUAACGGCUCACCAAGGCGACGAUCGGUAGCCGGACUGAGAGGUUGGCCGGCCACAUUGGGACUGAGACACGGCCCAGACUCCUACAGGAGGCAGCAGUGGGGAAUAUUGCGCAAUGGGGGGAACCCUGACGCAGCGACGCCGCGUGAAGGAAGAAGGCCUUCGGGUUGUAAACUUCUUUGAUGAGGGACGAAGGAAGUGACGGUACCUCAAAAACAAGCCACGGCUAACUACGUGCCAGCAGCCGCGGUAAUACGUAGGUGGCGAGCGUUGUCCGGAAUUACUGGGUGUAAAGGGCGUGUAGGCGGGGAUGCAAGUCAGAUGUGAAAUACCGCGGCUUAACCGCGGGGCUGCAUCUGAAACUGUGUCUCUUGAGUGUCGGAGAGGAAAGCGGAAUUCCCAGUGUAACGGUGAAAUGCGUAGAGAUUGGGAGGAACACCGGUGGCGAAGGCGGCUUUCUGGACGACAACUGACGCUGAGGCGCGAAAGCGUGGGGAGCAAACAGGAUUAGAUACCCUGGUAGUCCACGCCGUAAACGAUGGAUACUACGUGUAGGAGGUAUCGACCCCUUCUGUGCCGGA
rnacentral:rRNA from 1 species